UCCGGUUUGUCACCGGCAGUCUCCCUAGAGUCCCCGACAUUACUCGCUGGCAACUAGGGACAGGGGUUGCGCUCGUUGCGGGACUUAAGCCAACACCUCACGGCACGAGCUGACGACAGCCAUGCAGCACCUGUGCUAGCCCCUUACGGACACGGGCUUUCACCCGCUUUAACUAGCAUGUCAAGCCUAGGUAAGGUUCUUCGCGUUGCAUCGAAUUAAGCCACAUGCUCCACCGCUUGUGCGGGCCCCCGUCAAUUCCUUUGAGUUUCAGCCUUGCGGCCGUACUCCCCAGGCGGGAUGCUUAAUGCGUUAGCUGCGCCACUGAUAGGCAUGCUUACCAACGGCUAGCAUCCAUCGUUUACGGCGUGGACUAC
rnacentral:misc_RNA from 1 species